UGGUGUCAUUGGAGUCAUCCAUACUUAUGUUAUAUAGUAGGGAGACAUUGAUGGUGUCAUUGGAGUCAUCCAUACUUAUGUUAAAUAGUAGGGAGACAUUGAUGGUGUCAUUGGAGUCUUCCAUACUUAUGUUAAAUAGUAGGGAGACAUUGUCUGAUGGUGUCAUUGGAGUCUUCCAUACUUAUGUUAUAUAGUAGGGAGACAUUGAUGGUGUCAUUGGAGUCAUCCAUACUUAUGUUAAAUAGUAGGGAGACAUUGAUGGUGUCAUUGGAGUCAUACACAUUGAUGUCAUCGUGUAGAAAAAAAUUCUUAACAAAGUGUGCCUUUUCAAACCUACUUGCCCACAAAAUAAUCAUUUAUGGAUGAAUGUUUUGGAUUUGACUUCAUUCCUUGUACAUGUACUUAGGUCACCUGACUUAAAACAAUCUCAUAUUGAACUCCGGUAGGUAGGUGAUAAAAACAAUCUCAUAUUGAACCCGGGUAGGUAGGUGAUAAAAACAAUCUCAUAUUGAACUCCGGUAGGUAGGUGAUAAAAACAAUCUCAUAUUGAACUCGGGUAGGUAGGUGAUAAAAACUGUCUCAUAUUGAACUCAGGUAGGUGAUUCACCCAUCUAUACUCUGAUGCUCAGUUUUAUACAAAAAAAAAAUACCAAUCUGUAAAACAAUACAAUUUGUCUAUUUUAAUAAUAAGAUAUAAAAGUGCAAUUAAUGAUACAUAUUGAUCAACAAUAAAUGCAUUCUUCAUGUAGGAUUAAGUCCUAACUAGAGUUGAAAUAUUCAUAACAGUUCACAGAUGAUGUAACAAACAUUGUUUGGGAGUAUUCAAUGGUUACUAAGAGAAACCAGUCAAGUUUGUCCCAUGAUAACCAGUAGAUUUGGAGUAUCCUUGGUAGCUGAUAGUAAUCAGUCAAUCUGGAGCAUCCUUGGUAACAAGUAGAUCAGGAGUACCCCAUAGUAACUAAUAGUAAUCAGUCAAUCUUGAGUAUCCUUGGAAACAAGUAGAUCUGGAGUACCCCAUAGUAACUAAUAGUAACCACUGAAUCUGGAGCAUCCUUGGUAACUAGUAGAUCUGGAGUACCCCAUAGUAACCAGUGAAUCUGGAGCAUCCUUGGUAACAAGUUGUUCUGGAGUACCCCAUAGUAACUAAUAGUAAUCUGUCAAUCUUGAGUAUCCUUGGUAACAAGUAGAUCUGGAGUUCCCCAUUGUAACUAAUAGUAACCAAUGAAUCUGGAGUAUCCUUGGUAACCAAUAGUAACCAGUAGAACUGGAGUUCUCUCGGUAGCCAGUAGAAUUGUUGUACUCAUGGUAUUUGAUAGCAGAUCAGUAACCAAUCGUAACAGUAAAUCAUGAGUGCCUCAUCUUUUGGUAGCCAAAAGUAACCAUUAGAUCUGGUGUACCUCAUGGUAAAUAAUGGUAACCAAUAGAUCAGGUGUAUGGUAACCAAUAGAUCAGGUGUACCUCACAGUAAACUAUGGUAACCAAUAGAUCAGGUGUACCUCACAGUAAACCAUGGUAACCAGUAGAUCAGGUGUACCUCAUAGUAAACUAUGGUAACCAGUAGAUCAGGUGUACCUCAUGGUAAACUAUGGUAACCAGUAGAUCAGGUGUACCUCAUAGUAAACUAUGGUAACCAGUAGAUCAGGUGUACCUCACAGUAAACUAUGGUAACCAGUAGAUCAGGUGCACCUCAUGAUAAACUAUGGUAACCAGUAGAUCAGGUGUACCUCAUAGUAAACUAUGGUAACCAGUAGAUCAGGUGUACCUCAUGUUAAACUAUGGUAACCAGUAGAUCAGGUGUACCUCAUGGUAACCUGUAGAUCAGGUGUACAUCAUGGUAACCAGUAGAUCAGGUGUUCCUCAUAGUAAACUAUGGUAACCUGUAGAUCAGGUGUACCUCAUGGUAACCAGUAGAUCAGGUGUACCUCAUAGUAAACUAUGGUAACCAGUAGAUCAGGUGUACAUCAUAGUAAACUAUGGUAACCUGUAGAUCAGGUGUACCUCAUGGUAACCAGUAGAUCAGGUGUACCUCAUAGUAAACUAUGGUAACCAGUAGACCAGGUGUACCUCAUGGUAAACUAUGGUAACCAGUAGAUCAGGUGUAUCUCAUGGUAACCAGUAGAUCAGGUGUACCUCAUAGUAAACUAUGGUAACCAGUAGAUCAGGUGUACAUCAUAGUAAACUAUGGUAACCAGUAGAUCAGGUGUACAUCAUAGUAAACUAUGGUAACCUGUAGAUCAGGUGUACCUCAUGGUAACCAGUAGAUCAGGUGUACCUCAUAGUAAACUAUGGUAACCAGUAGAUCAGGUGUACCUCACAGUAAACUAUGGUAACCAGUAGAUCAGGUGUACCUCAUAGUAAACUAUGGUAACCAGUAGAUCAGGUGUACCUCAUGGUAAACUAUGGUAACCAGUAGAUCAGGUGUACCUCAUGAUAAACUAUGGUAACCAGUAGAUCAGGUGUACCUCACAGUAAACUAUGGUAACCAAUAGAUCAGGUGUACCUCACAGUAAACUAUGGUAACCAGUAGGUCUGGAGAAUUACCCAUUGACUUUGCAUGAGAUUUGUGCUUGCUAUUUAUCUUUACUGCUCUUAAUAUCGAUUAUCUUAUUCACAACAUUGUCUUUCUUGUUAUCAUACUCAUGUAACUCCUUGUUAUCAUACUCAUGUAACUCCUUGUUAUCAUACUCAUGUAACUCCUUGCUUGUAUUUAGUGCUGCACAUGUUUAUUAUUAUUGAUUAUUUUGUUAAAUAUGCUGUGAUAUUUUCCAUGUUUGUUGGAGUAAUAGCUCUUCAGGGCUAACGUUCCGGUUACCAUGUAUACGGGCAAAUACAAUUUCUUGUAUCUUGUAUAUAUGGAGUACCAUAUGGUAACCAAUAGCAACCAGUAGGUCAGGUGUAUCCUGUGGUUACCAAUAGUAACCAGUAGAUCAAGUGUAGCUUGUGGUUACCAAUGGUAACCAGUAGAUCAGGUGUACCUUGUGAUUACCAAUAGUAACCAGUAGAUCAAGUGUAUCUUGUGGUUACCAAUAGUAACCAGUAGAUCAGUUGUAUCUUGUGGUUACCAAUGGUAACCAGUAGAUCAGGUGUACCUUGUGGUUACCAAUAGUAACCAGUAGAUCAAGUGUAUCUUGUGGUUACCAAUAGUAACCAGUAGAUCAGUUGUAUCUUGUGGUUACCAACAGUAACCAGUAGAUCAGGUGUACCUUGUGGUUACCAAUGGUAACCAGUAGAUCAGGUGUACCUUGUGGUUACCAAUGGUAACCAGUAGAUCAGGUGUACCUUGUGGUUACCAAUAGUAACCAAUAGAUUAAGUGUAUCUUGUGGUUACCAACAGUAACCAGUAGAUCAGGUGUACCUUGUGGUUACCAAUAGUAACCAGUAGAUCAGGUGUACCUUGUGGUUACCAAUAGUAACCAGUAGAUCAGGUGUACCUUGUGGUUACCAAUGGUAACCAGUAGAUGAGGUUAUCUUAUAUGUGGUAUAUAUCCUAUUCAUGGCUGUAGAUUCAAUGUCUCGUCAGACUUCUGAGACUCAAAGAAUCUGAUGAGACAUUAUCCUAUUAACAGAUGGCGCACACAGCACUUCUAUCACAUAAAGUCCGUAUGAAGUACUUUUAAAAUUGCUGUGAUGAGAAGAUUAUUCACACAAACGUCGCCUCAUCUCUCAAUGCUGCUAGACAGUAACAUGUCUACACCUAGUCCAUAGAGAGGAAGUGACAUACCAAACAUUCAGUCCUAUUUUUUGUCAGCGCUUCCAUCCAUCUCGUGAUAGUUACUGCUUUGUGCACGU